UACAGAGGGGGCAAGCGUUGUUCGGAAUUACUGGGCGUAAAGCGCGCGUAGGCGGCUUUGUAAGUUAGAGGUGAAAGCCCGGGGCUCAACCCCGGAACUGCCUUUAAGACUGCAUCGCUUGAAUCCGGGAGAGGUGAGUGGAAUUCCGAGUGUAGAGGUGAAAUUCGUAGAUAUUCGGAAGAACACCAGUGGCGAAGGCGGCUCACUGGACCGGCAUUGACGCUGAGGUGCGAAAGCGUGGGGAGCAAACAGG
rnacentral:rRNA from 1 species